CAACAGGGAUUGCCCUAGUAACGGCGAGUGAAGCGGCAACAGCUCAAAUUUGAAAUCUGGCUCUCGGGCCCGAGUUGUAAUUUGUAGAGGAUGCUUUUGAUGCGGUGCCUUCCGAGUUCCCUGGAACGGGACGCCAUAGAGGGUGAGAGCCCCGUCUGGUUGGAUGCCAAAUCUCUGUAAAGCUCCUUCAACGAGUCGAGUAGUUUGGGAAUGCUGCUCUAAAUGGGAGGUAUAUGUCUUCUAAAGCUAAAUACCGGCCAGAGACCGAUAGCGCACAAGUAGAGUGAUCGAAAGAUGAAAAGCACUUUGAAAAGAGAGUUAAAAAGUACGUGAAAUUGUUGAAAGGGAAGCGUUUAUGACCAGACUUGGGCUUGGUUAAUCAUCUGGGGUUCUCCCCAGUGCACUUUUCCAGUCCAGGCCAGCAUCAGUUUUCCCCGGGGGAUAAAGGCGGCGGGAAUGUGGCUCUCUUCGGGGAGUGUUAUAGCCCGCCGUGUAAUACCCUGGGGGGGACUGAGGUUCGCGCAUCUGCAAGGAU
rnacentral:rRNA from 1 species